UGGGGAAUAUUGCACAAUGGGCGAAAGCCUGAUGCAGCAACGCCGCGUGAGUGAUGAAGGCCUUCGGGUUGUAAAGCUCUGUCUUCUGGGACGAUAAUGACGGUACCAGAGGAGGAAGCCACGGCUAACUACGUGCCAGCAGCCGCGGUAAUACGUAGGUGGCAAGCGUUGUCCGGAUUUACUGGGCGUAAAGGAUGCGUAGGCGGAUACUUAAGUCAGAUGUGAAAAUCCCGGGCUUAACUUGGGAACUGCAUUUGAAACUGGGUAUCUAGAGUGCGGGAGAGGAAAGUGGAAUUCCUAGUGUAGCGGUGAAAUGCGUAGAGAUUAGGGAGAACACCAGUGGCGAAGGCGACUUUCUGGACCGUAACUGACGCUGAGGCAUGAAAGCGUGGGGAGCAAACA
rnacentral:rRNA from 1 species